rnacentral:lncRNA from 1 species
AGGGUGGGCCAAUCAGAACGGGGGCGCCGGUGGCGAUUGACGGCAGCGACGGGCCAAUGGAGAGGGGAUUUCCUGGGGGGGCGGGGCGGCGGCUAAUGGUCGCGCGGCCUGGGGCGAUCCGAGAGCGGAGGGGGCCGGGGGAAAAUGGUGGUCGCGUCGGUCGCGCAGUGGGUGGUUUCAGAGGGAAGGCAGGGUCUGAUGCUUGGCUGGUCUGGGCCGCGCCCGUCGCAAGCACGUCGUGAGGCAGCUAGACCGCAUCAAGGGUCACCUUCUGCGGGGCGGGAAGGAAGUCCUGCAGGGCUGAUUCUGCUUGCUGCUCAGGAGCGGCUACGUUGA